rnacentral:rRNA from 1 species
UACUCGAGUGGCGAACGGGUGAGUAACACGCGGGUGAUCUGCCCUGCACUUCGGGAUAAGCUUGGGAAACUGGGUCUAAUACCGGAUAGGAACCAUCUUUAGUGUGGUGGUUGGAAAGUUUUUUCGGUGUAGGAUGAGCUCGCGGCCUAUCAGCUUGUUGGUGGGGUAAUGGCCUACCAAGGCUGCGACGGGUAGCCGGCCUGAGAGGGUGUACGGCCACAUUGGGACUGAGAUACGGCCCAG